AGAGUUUGAUCCUGGCUCAGGAUGAACGCUGACAGAAUGCUUAACACAUGCAAGUCAACUUGAAUUUGGGUUUUUAACUUAGAUUUGGGUGGCGGACGGGUGAGUAACGCGUAAAGAACUUGCCUCACAGAUAGGGACAACAUUUGGAAACGAAUGCUAAUACCUGAUAUUAUGAUUUUAGGGCAUCCUAGAAUUAUGAAAGCUAUAUGCACUGUGAGAGAGCUUUGCGUCCCAUUAGCUAGUUGGAGAGGUAACAGCUCACCAAGGCGAUGAUGGGUAGCCGGCCUGAGAGGGUGAACGGCCACAAGGGGACUGAGACACGGCCCUUACUCCUACGGGAGGCAGCAGUGGGGAAUAUUGGACAAUGGACCGAGAGUCUGAUCCAGCAAUUCUGUGUGCACGAUGAAGUUUUUCGGAAUGUAAAGUGCUUUCAGUUGGGAAGAAAAAAAUGACGGUACCAACAGAAGAAGUGACGGCUAAAUACGUGCCAGCAGCCGCGGUAAUACGUAUGUCACGAGCGUUAUCCGGAUUUAUUGGGCGUAAAGCGCGUCUAGGUGGUUAUGUAAGUCUGAUGUGAAAAUGCAGGGCUCAACUCUGUAUUGCGUUGGAAACUGUGUAACUAGAGUACUGGAGAGGUAAGCGGAACUACAAGUGUAGAGGUGAAAUUCGUAGAUAUUUGUAGGAAUGCCGAUGGGGAAGCCAGCUUACUGGACAGAUACUGACGCUGAAGCGCGAAAGCGUGGGUAGCAAACAGGAUUAGAUACCCUGGUAGUCCACGCCGUAAACGAUGAUUACUAGGUGUUGGGGGUCGAACCUCAGCGCCCAAGCAAACGCGAUAAGUAAUCCGCCUGGGGAGUACGUACGCAAGUAUGAAACUCAAAGGAAUUGACGGGGACCCGCACAAGCGGUGGAGCAUGUGGUUUAA
rnacentral:rRNA from 1 species